GAGCGAGUACGAGACAGCUAUCGUAAGAAAGAAGUCUUUUCGAUUGUGUUUCAGCAAACAUAAAAUUAUUUCUUUUAUAAUUCUUUUUUUUUGUUUUAUUCACUCUACAAAUUCAAAAAUUCACGACAAUAUUAUAAUUUUUUUUUUGAAAUAUUAUAAUUUAAUUCAAAUAUCAUCAUCUUUACCAUGUAUUCACAAAAUAGCAUUAUUUUAAUAUCAUUAAUCAAAAUUAAUAACCAACUUCAAAAUUUAAAAAUACUAGUUUUAAAUGCAUUAACAAUAAUUUAUACAUCUUUUUAUCUCGUUUUACACAUACAAACCAUUUUUCUUGAUUAUCUUCUCUCAUUUUAUCUUGAAAAUUCAAAAUUUUAGAUUUUAAGAUUACGUGUUCACAAAAAAUAUAUUUAAGUUUGAGAUACUUGGUCAAUAAGGAAUAGGUAUUUAUCAUUAGAAGUUAUGAAUGUUAGAGAAAAUAAAUACAAACUCUCACCGAAUUUAUGUAUGAUAUAUGGAUAUUUUCAGAUUUGUUUAGCAUAGAAAAUUUCUUCGAAAAUUCGUUUCAUCGAAAAAAUUUGUAAAAGAAUCAUCUAGUCAAUGCAUAUGUUUUUUUUUUUUUGCAAUUGACUAUUUUGUGAGUUUUCCUAAAAAAAACGU
rnacentral:lncRNA from 1 species